rnacentral:ncRNA from 2 species
UACAACUCUGCCCUACGAGGUGCUGUCCGGGCUUUCCGGACGGAGAAUUGGGAAGCCGGUGCGAUUCCGGCGCUGCCCCCGCAACGGUCAUGGGAUUCGCGGGCGUAACAUCUGCCACUGGGAGGAGGACCCGGGAAGGCGUUGCGCUCCGACCAGCAGGUCACCCCCAGAGCCCGGAAACCAGCCUCGGCAGAUAUCGUCAA